AUACUUACAAGGGGAGAUAGAUUCAAUGUUUGUAAUGGCUCAGCCAUUCCCAGUCCUUAUUCAAUCCUGAGUUGAUUGUAUCUAGUUUGCAUAUCAAUUCCAGCUCAGCAGUCUCUUGUUGGAGUCUGUUUUUGAAGUUUUUCUGUUGUAAGAUAGCCACCUGCAGGUCUGUCAUUGAAUGGCCAGACAGGUUAGUGUUCUCCCACUGGUUUUUGAGUAUUAUGAUUCCUGAUAUCAGAUUUGUGUCCAUUAAUUCUUUUGUGUAGAGACUGUCCGGUAUGGCCAAUGUACAUAGCAGAGGGGCAUUGCUGGCACAUGAUGGCAUAUAUCACAUUGGUAGAUGUGCAGGUGAACGAACCCCUGAUAGUAUGGCUGAUGUGAUUAGGUCCUAUGAUGGCAUCGGGCUUUGUUACAAGGAUAGGUUCCUGGGUCAGUGUUUUUGUUCAAUGAUGUGUGGUUGCUGGUGAGUAUUUGCUUUAGGUUGGGGGGUUGUCUGUAAGCGAGGACAGGUCUGUCUCCCAAGAUCUGUGAGAGUAAAGGAUCAUCUUUCAGGAUAGGUUGUAGAUCUCUGAUGAUGCGCUGGAGAUCUACAACGUACAAAGUGUACUUACUUUUCUUUUGAAAUCCAGUCACUGGUAAAACAAUUGGUUUAAAAAGAAAAUACUUUUACCAUAACUCUUGUGUAGCACUUUCUAUCUGGAGCUCUCAAAGUGCUUUACAAAGGAGGCAUAUAUCAUCAUUGCUGUACAACAGUUGUGAAAACUGAAGCAGGGGCCUAAACCCCAGACUUAGAUUCUACAAGGGGACAACACACUGCCACACAACCUUAUCUCCGUGGUAACAUUGUUUGGGUUCUGUUUUUGUUUUUACCAUUAAAUUUCCUAGUUUUUUGAACAGGGAAAGAUCUGUUGCUGGUGGGAGUUAGUAGAAAUUUAGGCAGUUGUACAUAUCAUUCCUGCAACUUGCACCCUGAGUCAGUCAGCCUUCCCCUCCCAUCAGCUGGGUCCCACCAGCCCUGAUUUGGCCCCACCUCACCAGCCAUGUCCCUGAGCCAUUCACUGUGUUCCCCUCUACAACCUGGCUCUCUCCCCAGUACUGUACCCAGGACCUCCACCGUCAUCAGGAAACGUUUCCUUGGUGUCCUCAUUCCCUGGUAUACAAAUAUUUCGAUUGCUGUUACUUCCCCCCUCCCAUAACCCGACUCACAAGCAGUGCCUGGAGCGAAGAGCAACUGUGUUACAGUGGAGCGGUGGUCCUGGUCAUGUUUCACAAUGGUUGGCAGGUGAAGUUUGUCACAAAGCCAGCAAGAGAAAUCACAAACAGGGUUUCUGUUCCAAAAUACUGACAGUUUUAUGGUUGAGACAAAGAUCCUCUGACCCCUGUCCAAUAGAUGCACCCUAGUUCAGAGAAACAGUGAGGUGUUUUGAACCAAACUACCAUAACCCUUUGAAACUUUGUGGGUGAGCCAAAGUCCCACUAUGUUUUGUGUUUGUAAUUCUUUGUCUUAAAGUUCAUCUUAGGUUCAACCUAAACUGACCCUAGUCCUUUGUGUUAAACUAAUCAGUUUGAACCUCUCUAGUUUGGCACCCUCAGGACCUGACCGGUGCCAAACCAGAGAAUUUGCCAAACCACGGGAAGUCAAUAUUAUAGCGAGCGGGUCUCUCUUUAUUUUUAUCUCACCAAGGCAAAUAAAUGGAACAAUGCUUGCAACACCGCCUAGCCAAGGCUUACCGGCUCUCUUCAUAACAAAGUGUUAGUGUUGUUACACAAUUUUACUGUACUGGCACAAGAAAAUAAGUAGAUAAAUCAUAAAAUAAUAUGAAAAAGAAAUAGAUAAUAAUAAUAUAGGUAAAUCUAUAAUUUACUCACCUAAAAUUAUGCCUGAAUUUCACUUCCAAAGUAAUAUGACAAGAACUGCUAACUCAAAUUACAUUUGAGUUACAUUGGGGUCUCUGCUGUAGGUAUAUUCGGGGUAGAUGAAGUGGAGGCAACGGGAUUUUUGACUGUAGAGUGCUGCUCACCACUCCUCUUCACUACCUUUAACCAAUCUUCCAGCUUGGCUUGUCUCAUGUAUUUUGUUUUUUCUUUAAUGAGUUUUUCUUGUAUCAUGUAGAGAGACAUGAUCUCUUGCUCAUAAAUGAAAUGUCUUUGCUCCAGUCCUUCUAUUAAAUUUGUUGCCAUCUGAAUGCAUUUAUCGAUAGAAUUUUUUUCUGUGACAUCCUCAUCAUCUUCCUCACCAUCACUGGCUUCUUCGUUAUCUUUGUUUUUUUCCUGCUGUACCAUUUGCACAAUUUCUUCAUGCGUCAUUUGACUAACAAUUGGUACAUCUUUGUUGACUUCCAUCCAGUCUAGUAAAUUUUCCUCUCCCAAAUCCUUGGUUAGCUCAAGCACUACAGGGUGGGACAUACCACUGGCAUACUCCAUUAACAAUUUUUUGGUUUUCAAACACUUGAAAUCCAGUGAACUCGGACUCGUCAUUGACAUCAGGACUGUCCUAAAACAUUAGGACUGGACACAAUUUGUGCCAUCUAUUCUUCAGAGUAGAUGGAGUUACUCUUUCCCAGGCUCUAGCUAGUGUCCAUAUAAUAUUCUUGAGGUUAAAGUCUUUCCUAAAUGUUGUCAAACUCUUCCCAUCAUUAAGCAAUACUAGCAAUUGGUGCAUAAACUUGGGCCUGUACAUAUACUUCAGGGAUCAUAAGAUACCCUGAUCACAAGGCUGAAUCAGUGAGGUACAGUUUGGCAGUAAAUACAGUCCCACCACAUUAUCUUUGACAAGCAGCUCUACUUUAGGGUGGGCAGAGCAAUUGUCAAGAAUCAGCACAAUUUGGCACUUCGGAUCCAGACCUAUCGAGGUGCAAUGGGCUCUUGCCUCCGGUACAAAAUAUUUCUCAAACCACUCGAGACUAGAUUAGUCGUUAUCCAUCCCUUUUUCUUGCCAAGGUAUGUCACUGGGAAUAUUUUCACCCCUUUGGAUGCCCUUGGGUUCACACUUUUUCCAAUAACCAUGAGCUUGAAUUUGUAUGUGCCUGCUGCGUUGCUACAACCAAGGACAGCUACCCUGUUUUUUCGACUCCUUCGUACCAGAUGAUGGCCCCUCUGCAUCAGAAGCCAACUUUUUUUUUUAGGCAUACAACGCCAGUAGAGAGCAGUUUCAUUGGCAUUCUAUACCUGCUCUGGGGAUAACUUCUAAUUUACAACUAACUGUGCAAAUUCGUCAACGUACUUAGCAGCAGCUUCUGUAUCUGCACUUUUUCUCACCGCACACAUGAUGUAGAUGAAUGCCAUGCCUGUUUUUAAAUUUCUGAAGCCAUCCUUGCAAAUAGUCACACUCAUGCUGCAGGUUAAGUUCUUUGUGGAAUAUUUUUGUUUGUGCUAUCAUCAUCUCACCUGAAAUGCUAACACCUUUGUUCCUACGAAGAUUGAGCCAAUGUAUAAGCUGCUUUUCCCCUCCUUCAAUGUCUUAUGAACAAUCAUACUUUUUUUAUUGUCACUUUUGGCAAAAAAAAUUAAGCUGGUCUCUUAGAAGACAUAUUUAGGGGUAAAUUAGAGCCAAAUAACAGCACAGAACACUGAGAACCAGGACUGGUGGGACUUUGCCGGACCGUGGGAAUCUUGGCCCCACCCACAAUAAGUGGACACCCGGCUAACUAAAAUUAUGCUCGACCACGGAUGUUUCCGGACCAGAGACUGCCGGACUAGAGAGGUUCAACCUGUAAUCAGGAAAAGGUAUGUAACCAGUCAGUAGGAUUGUACUUAAUCAUCCACUUUGCUUUUACUUAGCUGACCUAGUCCAAAUGCCCCAAAAGGGACCACUUCUAAUUAAUAUGGGGGAAAUGUUUUCUGUGAUUAAUAAAAUGAUAAUCUAUCAAAAGAUGCUUUUAGAUUAUGAGUCAUAAAAACCAGAUACUGAAAACAGGUUCACAGUCAAUAGGUCAUUUUUCCUUGAUCUCUUUUCUGUUAACACCCAUAAUACAUUAAGGAAUGCCUAGUCCUAUAGAUUUGUACUGUCAUGGACAAAAUAAUGUGCUAUACCAGUUUUCCUUAUCCAUUUUAUCAAUUACUAAUUUUAUCUAUUAUAGUGCAUUUAUGAGUAUCCCUUUUGACUGUGAAUCUGUUUUCAGUAUCUGGUUUCUAUGAUUGAUAAUCUAAAAGCAUAUAAAGCAGAUAUCCGCAGAUUUACAAGGUCUUUAGAUAUCAAAUUUGGAUCUGCAUCCAUCCGCGAUCUACAAAAAUGGCCCACAGAUACCUGCUUUAUAUGCGAGGAUCAUAUCUGCAGAUCAUGGAUUGGCUGCGGAUACAAAUUUUGUAUCCGCACGGGGCUGUACAGAUGUGUUCUAUAAUCAAUGUAACAACAAACCAUUAUGUGAUGUGUUGAUUAAUGAAUGUCUAAAAUAUUAGGAGCUAAAUAUGGCAACAGAUGCCAUUGGCUUAUUGAUUAGGUUGAGACUAUUCAAAAUAACCAAAAUGACAGCAAAACCAAUCCUGGGAAAAAAGCAUAAGAAGAUGUUCCCUGUUCUAAACUGGUAUAUAAAGGGUGAGUUUUUGGAAGAUAGAAGUAAACUGAAGUACACUGCCCCAUCACUUCUCCAUUAACAGAUAUUGGUAUGUAUCUUUCCUUUCUGUAUUCUGUAGAGUGCUGUAUUAAGUAUUGACUGACUGUCAUACUUAAAUAAAACUUCAGAUGAGUUUAGUAUUUCACAUCAUGUCUUACUAAAUCUGAGCAUACAACAGGUGUCAGAGUUUGUAAUGUUUCUAUGCCAUCCAGUACAUUUUCUGGGCAGUUAUGAGCCCUGCAAUUUCCCAAUUAAUGUUCUUCCAAUUCUUAUUUAUAGCUUGCAAAUUUUCACUGUAGCAACUAUUCAGACACUCAGCCAAACCAAAGAAAACUACUUCAAGUGUCUCCACUUAGGAUUCUCCAGUGAGAUAACUAUCCUGCCAUGAGAACUUAUCCUUCAAAACUCUGCACCCUUUAGUAGAAGUCUUAUGUACCCAAAGAUUUAGGACCUUUCUGGCUAAGUGCAUCAAGCUACAAAUAGUCAAGCAUGGUUACAGAAACUCUGAAAUCACUUUGUUUUUAAAUGUAUUUCAUGCCUGUGAUCAUCAUGAUAUUGAAAUGAAUAUGUAAUAUGGGUUUGUUUCUUGCAGCUUCUGCUGGAUUACCGAAAACCUUUUUUCCCCAAAAAAGCUGUAUUGGGGAAAUAAUUAACUGUAAUAAACAUCAACAUGGCAGCAGACCGGGCACUUCCAUUCGGCAAAAGAUAGAAAGGUUGAAGUUGUGCACACCAGGAAACAAGCCCUACAAAUCUUUGAACAGUAUCAUGGCAGUCCAAGGGCUGGACAUCAAGGAAUAGUCAAAAUGAGAAUUGCACUGACCUCAAGAUACUAUUGGCCAGGAAUGAUAAAAAACAUCCCAGACUGGGUAUGUAAAGUAAUUAAAUAAAAUGCUGAAAUAUUUAGUUUAAAUGUAAAUACAAAUUUUAAAUUUGCAAAUAAAGAUAUUUAUACUUUU